AUCUAGAUGUGUGGAAAAAACCUGUUUGGGAAACGGUGAUUGUUAUUCAACGAUUAAAUUGAGCAUCACAGUACAAAAUGAAGAAAAGUUGUCGUUGUUCCUGAGGAAGUUUGAAAAAGGGUGGGUGUGUGGUGUUCAGAUCGGCCACUCGGGUGGAAGUUCAUCCGUCGGUGGUACGGUAGGACAAGAUGGUCACCGAUGAAGACAUCAAGGUCACAUGUCACAGUGCGGAAGGCAGUUGAAUGCAGAACUCACAGGCGAAUUGGGAUGUCCAGGAGACGAAGAGUUGACUGGGUCAGUCCAGUAGGAACGGGGCAGCUUGGUAACCAGGGCUCAAGCAGCAACGGAGUUUAUCCAGAAGUGUUCAGCACAGAGUCAGGUGAUUGUAGGAUCCUUGUAGGUAAUCCGUCCAAGUAAAAAGGUGGCAGACCAAGGAAAAAACCCUUCAAAAACAAGGCAAACUGAAGAGCACAACAAACACACCCCGACCGCAAUGAGGUACAAGCCACGAAUGGUUAGGGGAGAGGGGAGAACAUCUGGGGUAGGUUGGGGGAGGUUCACUUAUGCUUCUGUGAUCCGACAGGAAAUGGUAUUUCUCUUCUCCACAAGUUCCGAAGAGAACUCCAUUUCCUGUCUACUCACAGAUAACACAGACACGAUAUGUGGGGUAGGGUAGCGGCGUCACCAUCACG